rnacentral:rRNA from 1 species
AGUGAACGUUGGCGGCGUGGAUUAGGCAUGCAAGUCGUGCGGUAAGGCCCCGCAAGAGGCACACGAGCGGCGAAAGGGAGAGUAACGCGUGGAUUAUCUACCCCCGGGAUCGGGACAGCCGCGGGAAACUGCGGUUAAUACCGAAUAAUGUCUCCGGACCAAAGGUGUGAUUCCGCCUGGGGAUGAGUCCGCGUCCUAUUAGCUUGUUGGUGAGGUAACGGCUCACCAAGGCCACGAUGGGUACGAGGUGUGAGAGCAUGACCUCGCUCACUGGGACUGAGACACUGCCCAGACACCUACGGGUGGCUGCAGUCGAGAAUCUUCGGCAACGGGCGGAAGCCUGACCGAGCAACGCCGCGUGAAUGAUGAAGGCCUUCGGGUUGUAAAAUUCUGUUAUAAGGGAAGAACGACUUUAGUAGGAAAUGGCUAGAGUGUGACGGUACCUUAUGAGAAAGCCACGGCUAACUACGUGCCAGCCGCCGCCGUAAAAC